UACGUAGGGGGCAAGCGUUUGUCCGGAAUCAUUGGGCGUAAAGAGCGCGUAGGCGGCCCGGUAAGUCCGCUGUGAAAGUCAAGGGCUCAACCCUUGAAUGCCGGUGGAUACUGUCGGGCUAGAGUCCGGAAGAGGCGAGUGGAAUUCCUGGUGUAGCGGGUGAAACUGCGCAGAUAUCAGGAGGAACACCAAGUGGCGAAGGCAGCUCGCUGGGACGGUGACUGACGCUGAGGCGCGAAAGCGUGGGGGAGCAAAC
rnacentral:rRNA from 1 species